ensembl:snoRNA SNORA70 Small nucleolar RNA SNORA70
CUGCAACCACUUAAGCUGACCAGGUUCCUUUCCUCACAGUGGCCUGGUGUGCAGUGGCUGCAAGCAGCACCCUUCUUGGUAGUGUACGUAACCUGUUGACUGUACAGGCUGCCCUAAGGAACCUGGGAGACAGUU